AGCCUUCUGGGCCUGGGCUGGGGUUCCACCCCAUGGACAGACCUGGGACGGGGCUUGUUGGGGGAGGGGAGUUUUGGUUUCUGAGGAAAAGGUGGGAACACAUUUUAAUUGGGUCUGCAGACCAUGUGGCUCGAGUUCCUUUCCAGAUUUAGCCUAAGCAUCUGCUCCAGGCAUCCAUGUGCUGGCUUGUUACUGUGCAGGUCUGGUUCCCCUGGCUCAUGGCUACCCAUGGACCUCUGAGUGCAGUAGCCACACCACCGUGAGUUCCUCGUCUCUGCUUGGGCUGUGGUCCCAUGUUUCCUUUUCUUGCUGUCUUUCUCUCUUCCGUCCUUAUUUGGGGCCAGUGCACCAAGCCAGGUUGUUCAGACUCUGCCGUCUUUGGGGUCAAGUCUUUGGUUUUUAUCUCUCCUGCUGUGACUGGAGGCCCGUGAGGACUGAGAGGGCAGCACCUGGUCAUGGGCUUAGAAUCCUACCUCUAGCUGUUCUGGUGGUCCCUGGCCCCGUGAUAUGGUGUUUCUUUGGGCCUCAAGGUGCCUUGUUGCGAGGGGAGAGCCUCAGGGCAAGGGGACCCUGGGGAGCUGCCCACAUGCCCAGGAUGCUGGAGCCAGAGACUCACCCAGCAGCAUCACUGGCACCCUGUGGGCGUCUGGCUACACUUACAGCCUGUAGUGAGUCAGGGCUCGCCAAUGUGGCUGCCUGCCAUGCUGUGGGGGUGGUGCUGCACACGGCAGGAUGGGCUCACAGCUCUGCCAAGGGCUCCUCAACCUCUCCAGCCCCAGCCCCUAGCCUGGCACCAAGCCAUGCCAAGCAUCCAUUUGGCAUCCCCAGCUCCAGGUUAUUUGCCUGGAGAACUCAGGCAGGCAAGCCCUACAGUUCACCCACUGACUGCUCACUGGCCUCCCAGGCCUCCCUGGGACACUCAUUUGAAACACGGGUGUACUGACUCCCUCUCUGUGCCAGACUCUGUGUGACACCUGCACUCCAGAGAUGGAUCAGACCUGGCCCUGGCCUCAGGAAGCAGCUUGUGGUUGGCGAGUCAGCUCCACACAAAUGUCGAUUGUCUACCAAGACACUGCUCGGUGCCCACAGAGCUUUGAAUUGCGGGUUUAGGGAUGGUGCCUUAAGCCUGCUGGAGAGGGUUAGGGAGGAGGUGGACCUUCUCAUAUGAGUGGAAUUUUGCUUUGCCUGCUAGGGGAACUGCAAGAGGAAAGGCCCAGAGACAUGGGGUGACAGGGGAAGUGUGGCCAGUGGAUGGGUGGCAGGUGGAGAAAGAGGUAGAAUGGUUUACUGGGUCAGGCUGUGGGGAGCUCUGGCAGAUUGGGAAGAAGGGUGUGGCACAGUUUGCUGCCUUCAUUCUAGGAAGCUAAAUGGAGAGCAGGUGGAGGAGGGGAGGAGACGAGGCAGAGAGGCCAGGAGAUUGGGCCAGGCCCAGGUGAGGGGUGAUGUGGGCUGGGGUCAGGAGCUAGCAUUUGGCUGGUUGAGGGGUGAGUGGACAUUGCCUGAGGUUUUGAGGUCAUGUGAUGAUGAUAGAGUCAAGAACACUGGGGCCCAAGUGGGAUGGGGCAGGCACUGGGGUGUGGGAAGUUCCUAGAGCGGAUGCCCAACCCCUACCCCUGCAGGGGUCUGUUGUAUAAGUUCCUGUCCUUCCUCUGUCCCUCCUUCCAUACCUGGCCCAGGAGGAACCCUCUGCCAGGCCGCAGUGGAAGGGAGGAGAAUACUUGUGGCUGCCUCUUUCCUCACUGGUAUGUCUUCCUGUUACUGAAGCAGCAUGCUGCCUCUUGGAUUGGAGGUGCUAAUUCCAGGAGGGAAACGGCCGAGGCAGUAGAAUACUCUGGGGUCAGCACUGGAGGCUGAUCCAGGGAUGUGUGAGAUGGAGGACCCUUGAGUCUGGCAAUUUCCCUGUGGUGUCCUGGCUUGGCCCCUGCCUCCAGAAAGCCUACUCUGCAGCUUCCCCAGAGGUGUGAAGGACCCAACAGGGCGGGCCCUCGGUGUCCAAGAUUGGCUGAGCACAGCCUGAAUUGGUUGCCAUUCUGAGGGGCCAUAGCCUAAGGGCACAGCCUCAGGGUUGCCAGUCCUGGGUUCCAGUUCCAUCCUGUCACUCUCCAGCUGUGUAACCUUGGGCACAUCAUGUAACCUCUCUGAGCCUCCAUUUCCUCAUCUGCAGAGUGGUGGUAAAAUACCUGCUUCAAAAAAAAAAAAAAGUUUUUUUUUUUUUCAUAGGUAGGCUGGUGAUUAAAUGAAGUGACAUAGGUGAGGCAUUCAUCCCACCACCUGACCCUCAACAGAUGUUUGACAACAGCAAAAAAGGGUGGAAAAAUGCUCAUCUUAGGGAGUGCUGAGGGAUCAGGCUGAGCUCUUGUGAUCCAGACCUGAUCCUUGGCCUGGCUAUGGCCAUCUAUUUGGCAGGAGGAUGGACCAAUAGGACAGGGUGGCCCCUGUGAUCCUGCCCCUCCCAUUCUUGGGUCACUCCAGGAUAUUCCUGUGUCCCCAUUCAUGGUUGGGCCACACCCUAACACCUGGGAUAGCUCAGAGACACUUGGGCCCUCGCCUACUCUGGGAGCUGGGCAGUACAUUCUGUGCCUGGUGUAGAUCCUUAAAGAUCCAGGGAGCCACGGACUCCGAGGCCUCAGGUGCUUGUGGCUAUCACAGACUGUCUGAUCUGCAAGGACCCAAGGCCUCCGAGUCCACCCUGCAGAUUUUAUAGAGAAGACUGAAGUUUAGGAGUGAAGAACCAAUCUCACACAGUUCACGCAUGCUGUUUUGUUUUCGUUUAACUGUUUGAGCACCUAAUCUGUGCCAGGAUCUGGCGUCGUAGGGACCAUGGGACCUAGCCCCCAGGACCUCUCAAUAUGGAUAUGGACAGGGGACGUUGUGGACAGGAGAGCCUGGAGAAGAGGCCCCAUCCUGGUCCUGGCGAAGCCUGAGAACCUAAGCUUUCUGCCCUCUAGGCUGCCUCCCUCUGUAGUGUCCAGCAUGGGGUACUGCAUAUUCCGGUUCUCAGAAGGAAGGGACAGGAUUUAACCUGGGCUGUUGAGAGUGCCCCAUUGGCACACCUUCUCCCACCUCGGCCUAGCACAACAGAAGCCAGAAUCUGCUUCUCUGAGCAUGGAGAGAAAGUGAGGCUGUUGCAGGCUCAGUGUGGGGUAGCGAUGGCCAGGUUAGUGGUGACUGUGUGUUUUUGGAUGCUGCCAUCCUCGUGAGGUAUGGCCUGACAGCUCCCUAGCCACACCCCACACCUGACCUCAGCUGGGCAGGGGGUAGACUGGUGGCUGGCAGAGGGCUGCUGAGGCCCUACCUGGUCUGGCUGAGGGGCUGGAAUCUCCCCACUCCAGGAAGUGGUACAGGAAAGGGCACACCAGAAGGCAGGAUAGUGAUGGUUGCUGUCGACCCUCUCAUAUUGGAUGCUGCUUAAACUACUAAGCCUUAUGUGUUGGAGCCCCAUGUGGGAAGAGGCUGCAAGGCCUGGGCCAAGUUGUUCCUGUGGGACGGGAGGAAGGAGUCCGUUGCCCAUCCCUGGGGACCUUGGCAUGGUUGGUGGGGGUGGAGGGAUGGGACAAAGCAUGUGGCAGGAAGUGGACAGAUCUGGCAGCAUCUCCUAGGUGUUCUUCUCUGCUCUAGGGCCCAGAAUCCAUGCAGUGCAGGUGGUUUCUUCUUCACAGAUCUGCACAUGCACACACACACUCUGGUCCAGUUCAGCCCUGCCCAUGCCCACUUGAGUGGGAAACUGCUCUGCCAUCAGCCCUGUUUCUGAGGUGGAGUCUGAGGCGCAGAAAGCGACUUUAGCGCCCCCUCCUGGGCCUGGUGCUUCUGGGUGUCUUGGGUCUUGGAGGGCAGGAACGAGCUGGGAGGGCCCUGAGCUCCUCAUUUGUUCUUGACUUUCUCUGGCCUGUGGACAGCCCCUCAUGGCCAGGCUAUUGUCACCAUACCCGUGGACCCCACCUUCUGCUGCCACCACCUCCACUGCUGUUUGGGGCUUGUGCAACCUGCCCGCCUGCCCUCUCAGUGAGCCUGGCUGAGGCAAGAAGGGCAGGGAAGCCAGUUCAGUUCACCUGGCCAGGAUGGGCCUGCAUCAAUCUGUCAUUACAUCUACCACCUACCUGGAGGGAGCGCCUACCCUGGGCGUAUGCAGUGGCUGGGGGACUGGAGACCUCUUUUGAUUCUGCCUUUAGAAAGUGCUACCUGAUGAGGGUCCGUGCCCUGGAGCAGUCAAACCAAUGAAACAUAAGUUUAUUAAGGAGAUGCAUACAUCACCGGGGACCCGGCAGCAACACAGCCUGUCUCUGUGGAGUCCCAAAGAGCAGUUUUAUAUUAGAGCUUAUAUAGAAUCUUACAAGGGUUACAAGUGUCUUCAUAGUCCCCUGCCAGACAUUUUUUUAUUAGGCUAAAGAUAUACAUGUCUGAUACCUGGGCUCCAACCUUCCUGUGGAGGUUGUAUGCCACAGGUAGUCCAGACAGAACAAAAGUUUAUUUGCAUCAAUUUUAAAACAAAGAACAAAGUCAUUAACGGAGGUAUGUGAAGGAGGCAGGCAGAAGAACAACUUACAGGUUUAUCAUGGCCUUAGUCCUGUUAAGCUCUCAGUUGCCCAUUUUGAAAAAGGAGAAAACAUGCUGGGGGGUAUUGGGGUCACAUAUUCCCCCCUUUGAAACUUGGGUGACUAUAUUCAGCUAUCCCGAGUUUCAAACUAUUCUUUAUAGAACACUUUCAGGUGAAAGUGCCUUCUGCCUGCAACAGGUUUGAGCCAUCUGUUAGACAGAGAAUGUAAUCGCACAUAUAAGCAUAAAUUGGAGAUGGUAACAGAUUAACAGGCCUGUGACAACCAAUCUAAUUCCACUAAUAAAUAAGGUUUUUAAAAAAACGGCAGGUAAAAUCUGACAGUCAAGAAAAAUCAAAUCGUUCACGAAUCUUGUUACAGGUCCCCAGCUAUAGAUAUCAGAAUAUUAACUCUGUGUACAAGAGUACAAACCUUGAUGAGACAGAACAUGAGGGCCGAGUUAGGCAUGCAACCCUCUGUCCACACAGGGCAGACAGAAAUCAGUAAUGUUUGACACUUCUCUAGCAAUAUAGAUGUAAAAAUUUUUAUCUUUUAACAAGGGCUCCGGGGAUGUUUAUUCAGUUGCAAAGAUUCUCCAGGCAAAAGUCUCUCUGGCCCCUAAUAGUAAUCUCAUCUAAGCUAGCAUUAAAAACAUUUUUACUUUUUUAACCCCAGAGAAUCUUAACUUCAGGCCAUCGAUCGGCUGAGCUUUCUACUCCUUGUCACUGUAGACCAGGCAAGGCUUGACUUGGAAUAAUGGGUCCAUGGUUUGACUCCUGCAAGCUUUACCAGUGCUAAGUGGUGCCGUGAAGGGUCCAGUCCACUUAGGCUGUAACAGGAGGCCCUUCUACUUUCGGAGGAGCACCUGGUCACUGCUAUCUCAAGAAGGAACUUCUGUCUGAUGUAAAUGGGAAAGAAUUUUGGUUAGAGAAAGCAAAUAUUUAGACAUUAUUACAUUAGGGGCUGGGUGGAGGAUUGUGGGGAGAGUUGGUGGAGACAAUAUGAUUUCCCAUAAAGUAUCUCAAAAGGACUGAUUUUAAGUUUUCCCCAGGGUGCAGUAUAGACUCAGAGGAGGGCCGGUGGCAGAACAUCUGUCUAUCUAGGGCACAGUUUACUAAAAUGACGUUUUAUGGUCUGAUUCAUUCUUUCACCCUUUUCCGAUAGAUUGAGGUCUCCAUGUUGUGUGGAGUUGCCACUUUAUUCUUAAAGCAGUUGAAAGCUGUUGUACCUCGCUCUAGCCAUCUUGGUCUGGCAGAGAAAAGUCUCUAACCAUCUUGAAAAAGAAUCUACACACACCAGUAAAUAUUUCAUCCGAUGUUUAGUUUUGAACACUUCACAAAAGUUAAAUCUGAUUUUCUCUCAAAAGCUGUAUUUGAUACACUGUUAGUUGGCUGGAGGUGAGUCACAAAUGUCUUUUUUGUUCCAAUACUACAGUCACUGCAUGAGGGACAAACAGGAUAGUAUCAUGUCCCAAAGAAAUUAACUCAGCCACCUUUGAUAAUGUUAGUGGUGGCAACUCCUGGCCGGCCAGCCUUUUGAGACUGUGUCCAGAUUUCUAGAGAAAUAGGUGGGCGACAGGGUGUCUCCAUGGUCCCAAGAACUGAAUUAACAUACCAACAGCUACUCCUCUUAUUUAUAUAAUUCAAAGGAUUUUUGAUAACCUGGCAGCCCCAGGGCUGGGGCUUUGAUUAACCAGGACUUUAAAUCACAAAAGGCUCAUUGACUGCAUUUGAAAGGAUCUCUCUCUGCCCCAUGGGUAGCCUGAUAGAGGUUAGCUUGUAACUUUCUUAAAGACACUCAGUCCAAAAAUUUAAGACAGUCACAGUAUUUGUAAGAGUCUUUCUCAGACUUAUUCCCUAUCAGGAGGUCCAUAUAUUGCAGGAAUAUUCCUCAGCUGAAGGGAGGUAAUCGCUCUAGACCUUGGGCCACCACUGUUCCAGAAAUAGUGACAGAGUUCUUAAACCCUGGAAGUAACACAGUCUAACAGAAUUGUUUCUUCCCUUUUGUCCCUUUUCCAUUUGAAAGCAAAGAUUAGCUGGCUCUCCAAAGAAAGUGUCUUUUAAAUCCAAAACAGUAAACUGAGUACUGGAAGGUAAAAGGGCUGAUAGUAAGGCAUGUAUGGUUCAGGACUACUGGGUAUAAGGUCUUUACAACUUUGUUUACAGCCCGCAAAUCUUGAACAAAACGGUACUCACCAGUUGAUGUCUUUUUCACGGGAGACCGGGAGUGUUGAAUGGGGAUUCGCAGGCCAGCAACAGUCGUCACUCUAGGUAUCCGGUGGUCAGUCCCUGCAGCCCCAGGGUCCCUGUGCUGAGAAGCUCCUGGACCAGGGAAGAUUGAUGACAAGGACCUUUCCCCAGAGCCUACAGAGAGAGAAAGCCUUCCCCUGGAGCUGACACCCUGAAUUUGGACUUGUGGCCUCCCAGACUGUAAGAGAAUAAAUUCCUCUUUGUUAAAACCA